rnacentral:rRNA from 1 species
UACGAAGGGGGCUAGCGUUGCUCGGAAUCACUGGGCGUAAAGGGUGCGUAGGCGGGUCUUUAAGUCAGGGGUGAAAUCCUGGAGCUCAACUCCAGAACUGCCUUUGAUACUGAGGAUCUUGAGUUCGGGAGAGGUGAGUGGAACUGCGAGUGUAGAGGUGAAAUUCGUAGAUAUUCGCAAGAACACCAGUGGCGAAGGCGGCUCACUGGCCCGAUACUGACGCUGAGGCACGAAAGCGUGGGAGCCAACAGGG